GAUGAAGAACGUAGCGAAAUGCGAUAAGUAAUGUGAAUUGCAGAAUUCAAUGAAUCAUCGAAUCUUUGAACGCACAUUGCGCCCGCCAGUAUUCUGGCGGGCAUGCCUGUUCGAGCGUCAUUUCAACCCUCAGGCCCCCAGUGCCUGGUGUUGGGGAUCGGCCCAGCCUUCCUGUAAGGCCGCCGGCCCCGAAAUCUAGUGGCGGUCUCGCUGUAGUCCUCCUCUGCGUAGUAGCACAACCUCGCAGUUGGAACGCGGCGGUGGCCAUGCCGUUAAACACCCCACUUCUGAAAGUUGACCUCGGAUCAGGUAGGAAUACCCGCUGAACUUAAGCAUAUCAAUAAGCGGAGGA
rnacentral:misc_RNA from 1 species